rnacentral:tRNA from 2 species
GGAGUUGUAGUUCAGUGGUAGAGUGCUUGCCUCGAAUGCAUGAGGAACUGGGUUCAAUUCUCAGCACCA